AUCAACGCCAUCCUCCCGCAAUCCCCGCCUACUGCCUUGCCUGCCCCUUCCAUCCUCCUCCCACCCCUCCUUCCAUCCUCGCCCGCGCACUCGUCCCCGCCAUCGCGCUCGCCUCCCUCCUCUUUGUUGCCUCCGCGUCGGCCUCCACCCCGCUCUCCGACGCGCUUGCCGCCGUCUCGGAUUUCAAGUGCACUCUCUUCUCUACGGCGCGAGCAAGGGCGACGCUUGUCAUGGCAUCGACGGGAACCAGGCAUCACUCUCCCUAUCUCUCGGGAGGGGAGCUGUUUGAGCGGAUGCCCACCAGGAACAAUGUUUCCUAGAUCACGAUGUUUGGGCCACUUUUGGAAGAGGUCAGCGAUGACAUGUUCUCAAGCUUGGAGGACAUCACCAACGCACCAUAUGCAGAUCUACUCUCUAUUAAUUCAAUGAGGAAAGAAAAGGGGUCAUAGAAAUUAGUCUUGGCAGAUGGAGGGGAACAUCUCAAUGACUGAGGCACAUUUUUUCUUGUUAGUUAGCUCAUGGAUUUUUAUGGUCUAGGAGGAGUUGCUGCUAUAUGAAUAUGACAGCACUCAUUAAUCAACAUAACUAUAUGAAUACAAUAUGAAAGGAGGUACUGAUGGAGGCUAUGAAACAGAUAAGGUAUACUUCACAAAAUUAUCCCUGAAACAUUUGUAUUUUUUAAAAUGACAUGUAAUCUUGUUGAUCUGGUUUACUCAAGCUGCAUCGAGUUUGUACUCGACAAACCUAAUUGGAUCUCUAUUCUAAUCCAAACAUUGCUUGUGUGUUGAUGAAGAAGCUCAUGAUUCCAAACCAGUUUUGAUGUCUGUUUGAUAAAGUUGUUCAUGCUCUGUGCAAUAUGCAGGUGAAGCUAGAUUUUCCAGAUGAAGUCCUCGUGUCUGUAAGUGGACACUAUGGAUAUGCUGCUAUGUUUAGAUAAGAAAAUGUGUUCCAGUUGACAACUUGUGAAUGCACUAAAUAUAUAUGUGUGUAUUUAGUCUUUGUACUAUGGCAUAUCCUGAUUUGCAUUGCUACUUAGAUGUGUGAACUGUUGGAGUUGGCAGAGCUGACCAUAUUUAGUUGUCAUGCUGUGCUAGGCCUAAAUUGUCUGAUGAUGUAAUUGUUGUCUGUUGGCUAUUCAGUCUGCCUGACAAACCUACUAAUUCAAAUUUAGUUAUGCUAUAUGUUCUUUUUGUGAAAUUACAAAUCUGCAUUGUUACAACAUCUGAAAUUCUGAUAUUUAUUAGGUCUCUUCAUUCCCUUUUCAGAUUUAAUUAACCUCUGACUGGAUUCAGAGCUAUAUAUUGACAGUCGUAUUGAUUUGAUUUCUCGGUACACAGGGGAACUACAACAUUUGGUGUGAGUUGUACUACUUCGGGUUUUAGAUCUUCAAGCACACCUUCAUUUGGCACAUUACAGGAGACAGAUCCAAAUAUGCUGACAGUGAGCUUAAUUGAUUUUGCGCAUUUCAAAUUUAUAAUGUUGUGAUUGAAUAGAGCAAUCAACAUCCUUGCAUUGGGAUAGGAUAACAAGAAAUAUUUGGGAGAUCUGCUUUAGGAAAUACCUUGUUUUUUAAUACAACUACUUUUUGCUCUCUCACAAGUAUAGACAAGUGGACAAGUGCAGUCUUGAAUCCCAUGCUAAACUACUUUCAAUUCCUUGGAGAUUAUACUUCAUAUAUUAUAGAAUUGCUCUCUGCCAACCAUGUAAUCACUCUACCUAUUUCUUUUACAUUCGUAUAUGCUAAGCUGCAUUUCUCUACUCCUAAAAAAGAUCUAACUUAUUUUGACUAUCGAUAACCACAUCAUUUUGCUCUUGUUUUUUUUGGAAAAUUUAGGAGGGAGACGAAGGGCGAGCUUAGUGAUCUAGAUUCAGAUCUGGUGGUGAAGGAGAUUGGCAACGCUGGCUGCAAAGCUGAUUGUGCCACCAACACAAGAGAUCUAGGAGUUCUUCAUCAUCACUGACGCAGUCCAGGCCAAGCACUUCGCUUCCAGUAAGACUCCUCGCCAAGCUACUGGCAUGACUAGAAAAUUUUAGUUUUAUAGUGUGGUAUUGUGAGGCAUGUAGAAAUUACUAUCUUAAUUACUCGAUCUCUCACCGCACACAAGUUUCUUCUGUCCAUGUUAAUUUCGUGCGAGGACACUGUAAGCCUUUCCUUAAUUUUCGAGUGUUUAGAUAUUUCUGCUUUUCAGGUGAUUGCUGGCUCAUUUCCAUAUUUUCCACCUUCUAUGAUAUCAAUUCCAAUCCUUUUGUAGGUAAAAGGCUAUGAGGAACUCAAGAAGAAGGUACUCGUGGAAAAAAUGAAGGUGUCUGAUGGAUACUGGAUAAAUCGUGUGGGCUCAUGGGAGCUCUGAAUAUCUGCUAGCUCUUGUGGUUUAUAUGAUACUACCAUAAUCUUAUUUCGUUGGAUUCAUCACCCUGCAUCUCAGUAUGGAUGGGGAUCAAACCUAUCACAUCAUGAUGGAUACUGGAUAAACCAUUAUGAGAGGCAAGUCAGAUUAUUUCUUUAGUUCAAAGACCAUCAUGGAAAAAAUCAGUUAGUAUGACGAGACCCUAUUUUUCUUCUAUGAAACAAUAGGUUCUGAUGCAUGUGUGAUAUUGACUAUGCUUUAGAUAUUAGUAUUGUGUUCCUAAUAUUUUUAAAAGCUACGGUUCUAAUAGUUACUGCAUUUUUAUCUAGGCGGAUCUUUCACACAGAUCCUUUGUUCUUAUUCAGGUUUGUUAUUUUUUACCACUAUUAAUUUACAUUGUUAUUGUUUACCUGUCUUAGUUAGUUAUAUGAAAGUAUUGCAUAUACAUGAGCUGUCUUGGCUAUAUGCUUAUCUUUUGAAUGAUAUGCAGAUUGAACACAUACACCAUUUAAGAGUAAUGUGCAAUGUACUGAUUAUGUUAUUUCUUUUAUGUUUUAUCUGUUUUUUGUUGGGUCCUCCAGGAAUAGGAGAGACACAAACUAUUCUUAGACUCCUUAGAGUCAUUCUCCAUUCUACUCCUGUAAGAAUGCAGAUCAAGUAACAAAGUCACUUGGUUAUUCUUUAUAUUUUGGUGUAUGGAGUAUUAGUUUUCUUUUCGAGGAUAGAAAACAUGGGGCUAGAACUGGACAUUGAUGGCAAGUACCAAGUAUGUGAAGAAUGUAGACCUUCUAAUUAGUUUCCCUUUAUUUGACUUUGGGCUGGGUAUGGAAAAUGGGAAGAAUAUAAAGCUGAUUAGUAACAUCUAGCUACUUCAAAUUAUGAGUUUCCCUUUGAAAUUCUCCAUUCUUAACUUGUUUCUCUUAUAGACUGCAUGAUUAUGUGUUGGUUAUUAGUAGAUAAAUAAAAAAACUUAGUUUUGACAAUAUGCGGUUAUCAGAAUUUUUUUCCAAAAUAUCUAACAGACUUGUUUUCUUCAGGCCAGGAACUCAGGGUCUACACAUCUUAUAACUGAAAAACACAUGAGCAAUAUGCGGUUCACACUUUUUUCUUGUUUGCAUUUUAUAAACCAUUAGACCCAUGUAACAAAAAGCAGAUUGUUUAUAUGUUAUGCUCACUUAAUAUGGAGAUCCUCAAGUAUCUUAGAAUCAGUUAUGUGUUGGAUAAAUAUCUUGGUUAUUUACUCUUCUAUUAGUACUCUGUGCUUGUUAUCUGUUGGAUAAAUGUCUUGGUUAUUUACUCUUCUAUCCUCAAGUAUCUUAGGAAUAGGAUUCAUGACAAUGAGCCAUUGAUUUCUGAAGUUUUUUAAGCUAACCUAUUUGCUUUGUAGGCAAGGUGAGCAAGGCACCUAAGAUCCAGUGGAUUGUGAACCCUUGACCCUUCAGAGGAAGCACACUAGAAUCAUUGACAAGAAGAUUGCCAAGAAGAGAAGUCUGAGGUUGUCGAGUACCAAAAGCUUCUUCCCAUAGGCUGAAGGAAUAGAGACCGCCACAACGAGAGCUUGGCCAAGAGCAGAUCCAACCGCCAAGGCUUCCUCUGGCACCUCCGCUUAAGAAUGUUCAGUGCUUUUGAGAUGUUUUCAAGACCUAUCUUGUUACAGCUUAAGUACCUUAUGCUGCUAUAGCUAUGUUGCAACUGCCCCAGUACUUGACAUAUUUGCAUUACAUGCUCAGGCUAUAGAGGGUAGGUUCCUAAUUGUGACCAUGUACUAAAUUAUAUAUCUGUUGCUAAGUUAUAGUACAGACAAAAUAAAUUUAGCCUGACCAACUUGUAGAAAAAUGUGUUAUUGUAACUAAGAAUAUCUGAAUUGCUCCUAUGUUACUUUCUAUAUUCAUUCUUGUAACUCCAUUUACUUCCAUGUGAAUAUUGUGUAUAGUAGCCAUGAUAUCAUGAUAUGAUAAUGAA